UAGAGGUUUGAAAAACCAGCUUGACCCCUUUGUAUUGUUUAAAAUCUAAAUAAAAUCUUGUCAAAUUGACCCAAAUUACAUUCACCCAAUUAGAACUAGGGGUGCAAAGGGGUGGAAAAUGUCCAGUAAAUUUCCGGAAACUUUUCAAAAAUUCCAGGAAUAUUAAAAAAAAAUCCUGGAAACUUUCCCAAAUUUCUGGAACGUUUCCGAAAUGUACUGGAAAUUUUCCACCUUUUUGCAACCCUAAUUAGAACACAUCAAAAAUCAGGUAAUAUUAGUCAAAUCUAAAACCUCGUGCUGUGCUGAAAAUCCUUUAUCCAAUUUGGUGUUCCCAGUCAAAAAAUACCGGCCUUUUAAAAACUGCUUGUAAAUCUCUCCUCAUGCUAUAUUAUAAUCAAAUUUUAGAUUCAAAAGUUUGUUUUCUUACAGUUUCUU